AUGCUGACUCUGGAUGCUUCUUCCAUGAACUACCCAUCACCUGACAUUUGCAGUGCAAGUACAGAGUCCAUCCAGCAGUUCUUCUGUAAAGAAAGGCAAGAAGAGUCUGUCUGACAAAGAGAUGGAUUCAGCAACUCCUUAAGGUCCCUUCUACCCUCAUCUUCUGUGAGGAAGGGCUUGGGGCCUAUAGACUGAUAGGUUACUAAAAGAAAGGUGAAACUUGACUGAAAAUUCAUAGGACAAAGAUAAUGUGCGCCCCACUGGACCUAACCUGCCUGGAUCAGCGCAAAGGGAGCAUUUCUCUCCGAGCAGUUUAGCAGAGGUCAGCCCAACUCUGAGUGCUCAGUCUGUUUCUGGAGGGGGUGUUUCUGGAGGGGGUGCUGCCGUGUGAUUGUCUGCAAAAGUGAGAACAGCACUCAUGGCUUCUGUGCUUCCCUUCUCCACCCCUUCCUCCAAGCCGUGCUUUAAUCACCUUCCUGGUGGGACUGAGGUGGCACUAUCUCCUCUCACAGCUUCUCUUUGCUAGGUCCACCUGAGCUCAGAGAACUGUUUCAGGCACUCAUCUGUGCUUGUGGAGAGGGAGCACUGUUAAAAACGGUCUCACACAUAGACCAGCCCUCAGUCAUGCUGCCAUGGAGGUCUUUAAGCACCAAAUGUCUUGUUUUGUCUGAUAUUUUUCGUACUGUGGAAUUGUGUACUACCCUCCCCUGCAGUAUGUGCUCCUCAUGCUGGAGAGUGCUCGAGGAGGAACAUCAGUGGAUGAGGCAGAUAGGACAGCGCAUAAAUACUUGGAGGAGGAGAGUAAGUGGCAGGCAGAAACAAAGUUCGGUCAUUCUGAAAUCCUUGGAGAAUAAGAGUGUGAUGCAGAAAGCUGUCUUUGAAGUUCUGCAAGCAGAGAAAGAUCUUAUGCACAGGCAGAUCAGGAACCAGCCGUCCUUUCUGAGCUCCAUUCUGCAGAAGGUGAAAUGCAAUAGCAGGGCAGGAAGGAAAAGAAUGAAACUGGGCUAG
rnacentral:lncRNA from 1 species